UUUUUUUUUUUUUUUUUUUUUUGAGGCAGAGUUUUACUGUGUAGCCCAGGCUGGCCUUGAAGUUGAAGUCCUUCUGCUUUAAGCGCUAGAAUGCAGGUAUGUUCCAACCUGCCCACCCUGUUCUCUGCUUUAAACAUCUGUAUGUUUGUUGAAAGGUCAUUGCCAUGGGGGAAAGCUGCUCUUGAUUUAGAACAUUCACUAGGGUGUGCCCUUUCAUAGUUUAUCACAGUUAUGGUUGGAAUUAAAGUGACCCUUGCAGGUUCAUGUUUUGAAAUCCUGUUCCCAAGCUGGCGCUGUAUGGCAAAUGGGCCUGAUCGGUGGAGGUUGGUCACUAGGAGUGGUCUUGAAGGUUACAGCCCGGACUCUGCUUCUGGGACUUUGUACUUCCUUGUCUGUUGUAAUGUGAGGAAUCUCUGGCACAGGCUUCUGCCGACAGGAACUCCUCUCCACCCUUCCUGCAGCUGUGCAUGGGGAUCUCCACCCUUCCUGCAGCAGUGCAUGCAGACCAUUUAAAUUGUGCGCUCAGUAGGUCCUUCCUUGUGUAGUUUCUGUCAGGUGUUUUGUCAGGGCGAGGGACGAGACAAGUGGUUAAUACAAUUACAUGCUCUCUCCAGAAGACUUGAGUUUGCAGAGGCAGAGCUGUUCUAGUAUUGCUACUACUCAGGCUUUUUACAUCCUAGUGAACAGUUCUUGAGAAAAGCAAGUAAGGAACACAUCUCUCUGUAUGUGUGUGUGUAAGUAUAUGUGUACAUGUGUGUGCAUGUAUGUAUGUAUAUGACUACACUUUAUUUCAGCUCCUGAUUUUAGAGACUUGUGUUGAUUAUGAUGAGGAGGGUAUAGCACAGCAAAGCAUGAACAUCACAACAGCCUUGGAAGGACAUAGAAGGAGAUCCAGUGGGGCAAGGGCAAGUGAUAGCCCCAGGUUCACACUCCAGUGAUUGAUUUAUUCCAGUAGACCCGCCUCCUACUCAUCACCACCUCUCAGCAAUACAGUCACGAGAUGAAUCCAUCAGGAGAUUCAUACAUUGAUUAGGUCAGAGCCCUCAGAAUCCAGACACUUCUGAAAAUCUGUCAGCAGACAACCAAGCCCCUAAUACUUUAGACUGGGAUGGGAGGGGAGAUGAGGCAUUACAUACUCAAACUACAGUGCAUUUUCAUGCUGGGGUAUGUAUAUAUAACUCUCUUCCCCCACAAACCCUAUCUUGCCUAUAGCUCUCAUUUGCUUUUGUCACUUAACAAAACACCACAGACAUCUGCUUUAUGAUUACCUUCAUUCAAAACACAGUUCAGGCUGGAGUUGGCUCAAUGGUUCCGAGCGAGCGCUUGCUGCUCUUCCAGUAGACAUGACUUUGGUUCCUAGCACUCACAUCAGGCAGCUCACUGCAGUCUGUAACUGCAGUUCCAAGGGAUACAAUGUUCUCUUCUAGCCUUUGUGGGCACCUGCAUAGAACUGCAUGUAACAUACACACUUGCACAUAAUUAGAAAAACAAAGCAGUUCUGUCGCUUGAUUUUACCAGAUAUUCACUUUUUAUCUAUGAAAUGUGAAUACUAACAGUUUCUGUCUUUUAGGACUUGGAGAGCAUAAUAUUAUUACUAUUUCUUAAUGAGGCAUGCAAAGUUCCCAAUUUUAAGUGUUCAGCAUGUAUUGAAGAAAUGUUGGCAGAACUAGCCAUUUUGUUCCUUUAAAUUUUUUUCUCAUAUACUACAUUUUGAUUGUAUCCUUUCCUUUGAGAUUUUUCCCACCUCACUUCAUGCUCUCACUUUCUCUCUUUCUCUCUCUCAGAAAGUAAAAGCAAAUGGUCAAAUAAAACCCAGUAAGAUAAAAAAAGUAACAAAGC
rnacentral:lncRNA from 1 species